rnacentral:rRNA from 1 species
GGACUACCGGGGUAUCUAAUCCUGUUCGCUCCCCUAGCUUUCGCACCUGAGCGUCAGAUGCUUCCCAGGACACUGCCUUCGCCAUUGGUGUUCCUCCGGAUCUCUACGCAUUUCACCACUCCACCCGGAAUUCCGUGUCCCUCUGAAGCCCUCAAGUCUCGCCGUUUCCAAAGACCUUUCCCAGUUGAGCCGGGAACUGUCACUCCAGACGUACGAAACCGCCUGCGUGCGCUUUACGCCCAGUAACUCCGGACAACGCUCGCCCCCUACGUAUUACCGCGGCUGCUGGCAC